UUUGCAGGACGACCUGCAAA
rnacentral:misc_RNA from 1 species